rnacentral:rRNA from 1 species
GAUGAACGCUGGCGGCGUGCCUAACACAUGCAAGUCGAACGGAGUCCAGCCUUUAAGACCUUCGGGUCAAAGAGGGGACGACUGAGUGGCGGACGGGUGAGUAACACGUGGGCAACCUGGCUCAUAGAGGGGGAUAACAGAGAGAAAUUUCUGCUAAUACCGCAUAAGCACACACUGCCGCAUGGCAGAGGGUGAAAAGAGAAUCGCUAUGAGAUGGACCCGCGUCUGAUUAGCCAGUUGGCAGGGUAAGAGCCUACCAAAGCGACGAUCAGUAGCCGAUCUGAGAGGAUGAACGGCAACAUUGGGACGGAGACACGGCCCAAACUCCUACGGGAGGCAGCAGUGGGGAAUAUGGCACAAUGGGGGAACCCUGAUGCAGCGACGCCGCGUGAGUGAAGAAGUAUUUCGGUAUGUAAAGCUCUAUCAGCAGGGAAGAUAAUGACAGUACCUGAAUAAGAAGCCCCGGCUAACUACGUG